rnacentral:vault_RNA from 1 species
AAGCCAGCUUAGCCCAGCAGUUCUAUUGACCAACACAUUGGUUGGAUCUCCCGAUCGUUUCCAGCAGUUUGAGACCCAUGGGCACUGCCUGGCUUUUUU